UCGAACGAUGAUCCCAGCUUGCUGGGGGAUUAGUGGCGAACGGGUGAGUAACACGUGAGUAACCUGCCCUUGACUCUGGGAUAAGCCUGGGAAACUGGGUCUAAUACCGGAUAUGACCAUUCCACGCAUGUGGUGGUGGUGGAAAGCUUUUGUGGUUUUGGAUGGACUCGCGGCCUAUCAGCUUGUUGGUGGGGUAAUGGCCUACCAAGGCGACGACGGGUAGCCGGCCUGAGAGGGUGACCGGCCACACUGGGACUGAGACACGGCCCAGACUCCUACGGGAGGCAGCAGUGGGGAAUAUUGCACAAUGGGCGCAAGCCUGAUGCAGCGACGCCGCGUGAGGGAUGACGGCCUUCGGGUUGUAAACCUCUUUCAGUAGGGAAGAAGCGAAAGUGACGGUACCUGCAGAAGAAGCGCCGGCUAACUACGUGCCAGCAGCCGCGGUAAUACGUAGGGCGCAAGCGUUAUCCGGAAUUAUUGGGCGUAAAGAGCUCGUAGGCGGUUUGUCGCGUCUGCUGUGAAAGACCGGGGCUCAACUCCGGUUCUGCAGUGGGUACGGGCAGACUAGAGUGCAGUAGGGGAGACUGGAAUUCCUGGUGUAGCGGUGAAAUGCGCAGAUAUCAGGAGGAACACCGAUGGCGAAGGCAGGUCUCUGGGCUGUAACUGACGCUGAGGAGCGAAAGCAUGGGGAGCGAACAGGAUUAGAUACCCUGGUAGUCCAUGCCGUAAACGUUGGGCACUAGGUGUGGGGGACAUUCCACGUUUUCCGCGCCGUAGCUAACGCAUUAAGUGCCCCGCCUGGGGAGUACGGCCGCAAGGCUAAAACUCAAAGGAAUUGACGGGGGCCCGC
rnacentral:rRNA from 1 species